UACCAGCACCCCGAGUGGUCGGGACGUUUUAUUGGGCCUAAAGCAUCCGUAGCCGGUUCUACAAGUCUUCCGUUAAAUCCAGCUGCUUAACAGAUGGGCUGCGGAAGAUACUAUGGAGCUAGGAGGCGGGAGAGGCAAGCGGUACUCGAUGAGUAGGGGUAAAAUCCGUUGAUCCAUUGAAGACCACCAGUGGCGAAGGCGGCUUGCCAGAACGCGCUCGACGGUGAGGGAUGAAAGCUGGGGGAGCAAACCGG
rnacentral:rRNA from 1 species